AUUGAACGCUGGCGGAAUGCUUUACACAUGCAAGUCGAACGGUAGAGGGGGCAACCCCUCGAGAGUGGCGAACGGGUGAGUAAUAUAUCGGAACGUGCCCAGUCGUGGGGGAUAACGUAGCGAAAGUUACGCUAAUACCGCAUACGAACUAAGGAUGAAAGCGGGGGAUCGGAAGACCUCGCGCGAUUGGAGCGGCCGAUAUCAGAUUAGGUAGUUGGUGGGGUAAAGGCUCACCAAGCCAACGAUCUGUAGCGGGUCUGAGAGGACGACCAGCCACACUGGAACUGAGACACGGUCCAGACUCCUACGGGAGGCAGCAGUGGGGAAUUUUGGACAAUGGACGCAAGUCUGAUCCAGCCAUUCCGCGUGCAGGAUGGAGGCCCUCGGGUUGUAAACUGCUUUUGUACGGAACGAAAAGGUCUCUCUUAAUACGGGGGACUCAUGACGGUACCGUAAGAAUAAGCACCGGCUAACUACGUGCCAGCCGCCGCGGUAA
rnacentral:rRNA from 1 species